GGAGGGGUGCCUGAGUGGUUGAAAGGAACGGUCUUGAAAACCGUCAUAUCCGAAAGGGUAUCGUGGGUUCGAAUCCCACCCCCUCCG
rnacentral:tRNA from 1 species